UACAGAGGUCCCAAGCGUUGUUCGGAUUUAUUGGGCGUAAAGGGUGCGUAGGCGGCGGAGUAAGUUGGGUGUGAAAUCCCGGGGCUCAACCUCGGAAUUGCAUUCAAUACUGCUUCGCUCGAGUACUGGAGAGGAGGCUGGAAUUUACGGUGUAGCAGUGAAAUGCGUAGAUAUCGUAAGGAAGGCCGGUGGCGAAAGCGAGCCUCUGGACAGUUACUGACGCUGAGGUGCGAAAGCGUGGGGAGCAAACAGG
rnacentral:rRNA from 1 species